rnacentral:sRNA from 1 species
UCAUCCUGCCGUGUGACUGGCGUUUCCUCCCUGAACUUGGCCCGCCACCCUUUACGGGUUGGCGGGCUUCUUUCUUUUGG